rnacentral:siRNA from 1 species
GCAAGGACAUGCGUUGUGUAAUUA